rnacentral:rRNA from 1 species
UGGCGGACGGGUGAGUAAUGUCUGGGAAACUGCCCGAUGGAGGGGGAUAACUACUGGAAACGGUAGCUAAUACCGCAUAACGUCGCAAGACCAAAGAGGGGGACCUUCGGGCCUCUUGCCAUCGGAUGUGCCCAGAUGGGAUUAGCUAGUAGGUGGGGUAACGGCUCACCUAGGCGCGAUCCCUAGCUGGUCUGAGAGGAUGACCAGCCACACUGGAACUGAGACACGGUCCAG